GAUGAACGCUGGCGGCGUGCCUAAUACAUGCAAGUCGAGCGAACAGAUAAGGAGCUUGCUCCUUUGACGUUAGCGGCGGACGGGUGAGUAACACGUGGGUAACCUACCUAUAAGACUGGAAUAACUCCGGGAAACCGGGGCUAAUGCCGGAUAACAUUUAGAACCGCAUGGUUCUAAAGUGAAAGAUGGUUUUGCUAUCACUUAUAGAUGGACCCGCGCCGUAUUAGCUAGUUGGUAAGGUAACGGCUUACCAAGGCAACGAUACGUAGCCGACCUGAGAGGGUGAUCGGCCACACUGGAACUGGGACACGGUCAAGACUCCUACGGGAGGCAGCAGUAGGGAAUCUUCCGCAAUGGGCGAAAGCCUGACGGAGCAACGCCGCGUGGGUGAUGAAGGUCUUCGGAUCGUAAAACUCUGUUAUUAGGGAAGAACAAAUGUGUAAGUAACUGUGCACGUCUUGACGGUACCUAAUCAGAAAGCCACGGCUAACUACGUG
rnacentral:rRNA from 1 species